rnacentral:rRNA from 1 species
GAUGAACGCUGGCGGCGUGCCUAAUACAUGCAAGUCGAGCGAACGGACGAGAAGCUUGCUUCUCUGAUGUUAGCGGCGGACGGGUGAGUAACACAUGGAUAACCUACCUAUAAGACUGGGAUAACUUCGGGAAACCGGAGCUAAUACCGGAUGAUAUUUUGAACCGCAUGGUUCAAAAGUGAAAGACGGUCUUGCUGUCACUUAUAGAUGGAUCCGCGCUGCAUUAGCUAGUUGGUAAGGUAACGGCUUACCAAGGCAACGAUGCAUAGCCGACCUGAGAGGGUGAUCGGCCACACUGGAACUGAGACACGGUCCAGACUCCUACGGGAGGCAGCAGUAGGGAAUCUUCCGCAAUGGGCGAAAGCCUGACGGAGCAACGCCGCGUGAGUGAUGAAGGUCUUCGGAUCGUAAAACUCUGUUAUUAGGGAAGAACAUAUGUGUAAGUAACUGUGCACAUCUUGACGGUACCUAACCAGAAAGCCACGGCUAACUACGUG